CAGGGUAUGAUGUGAUUGCUCAAGCUCAGUCAGGUACUGGCAAGACAGCCACAUUUGCUAUUUCCAUCCUGCAACAGUUGGAGAUUGAGUUCAAGGAGACCCAAGCAUCAGUAUUGGCCCCCACCAGAGAGCUGGCUCAACAGAUCCAAAAAGUAAUUCUGGCACUUGGAGACUAUAUGGGAGCAACUUGUCAUGCCUGCAUUGGUGGAACAAAUGUUCCAAAUGAAAUGCAAAAACUGCAGGCUGAAGCACCACAUAUUGUUGUUGGUACACCGGGAGAGUGUUUGAUAUGUUAAACAGAAGACAUCUUUCUCCAAAAUUGAUCAAAAUGUUUGUUUUGGAUGAAGCAGAUGAAAUGUUGAGCCAUGGGUUUAAGGAUCAAAUCUAUGAGAUUUUCCAAAAACUAAACACAAGUAUUCAGGUUGUGUUGCUUUCUGCCACAAUGCCCAACGGAUGUGUUGGAAGUGACCAAAAAAUUUAUGAGAGAUCCAGUUCGAAUUCUGGUGAAAAAGGAAGAAUUGACCCUUGAAGGAAUCAAACAGUUUUAUAUUAAUGUUGAGAGAGAGGAAUGGAAGUUGGAUACACUUUGUGACUUGUACAAGACACUGACCAUUAUGCAGGCUGUUAUUUUUCUCAAUACGAGGCACAAGGUGGACUGGCUGGCUGAGAAAAUGCAUGCCAGAGACUUCACAGUUUCUGCUCUGCAUGGUGACGUGGACCAGAAGGAGAGAGAUGUUAUCAUGAGGAAAUUCCAGUCAGGGUCAAGUCAUGUUCUGAUCACUACUGACUUGUUGGUUCAUGGGAAUGAUGUGCAACAAGUGUCUUUGGUUAUAAAUUAUGAUCUACCUACCAAUCGUGAAAACUAUUUUCACAGGGGUCAAUAGCAGCAGUCGAUGACGAGAUGGCA